CUCUCCCCUCAGCCCGGCCUGCCCUCCGCUCCGCUCUCCCCCAGCCCAGCCAGCGCUCCGCUCUCCCCUCAGCCCAGCCUGCCCUCCGCUCCGCUUUCCCCCAGCCCGGCCCGAGCUCCGCUCUCCCCUCAGCCGGGCCUGCCCUCCGCUCCGCUCUCCCCUCAGCCGGGCCUGCCCUCCGCUCCGCUCUCCCCUCAGCCCGGCCCGCGCUCUGCUCUCCCUUCAGCCCGGCCUGCCUUCUGCUCCGCUCUCCCUUCAGCCCGGCCUGCGCUCCGCUCCGCUCCCCUCAGCCCGGCCCGCUCUCCGCCCCACCUCCCCCGCCAGGAACGGGCCGCAGCCGCACGCUGGGAAGGAGCUUUUAUUGAGAGCAAAGCCGCGUCACAUGCUGGAGCGCCGCGGAGCCAACAAGCGCGGUGGGCACGGCCCCGCUCCCGGCGCAGGUGAAGGGACACAGUGGUCACCCAAAUCCACAGGACUCGCUGCCCAGAGCAUCCAGCCGCCCCUCGGUACCACAUCAGCAGCUGCACGAGUUAGGGCAGGGAGGGGAUCCGGACCAGCGUAUUUACUACACUCACGACUUUUCAUCUGCACUGUGAAUAAACACGGGAGAGCGCCCUGCCCACACCUGGCACCAGGGCUUUGGGAAGCGUGCGGGAUGGAGAGCAGCGGCAUAGCAGAACCCUCACUGGGAUGGGACCGGUGCCCCCAGGCUGCAGAACAGACCACUGUACUUAGGAAUGCUCAGAUUUUGUCUAAGUGACAGCACAAGCCCAUCCUACAAGUGACCCCAGCAAUCAGCCAUCGACUGUGCCCUCCACAUGCAAGUUAAGAAGCAGCCCUGGGCAGCCGUGUCCCAGCAGUGUGACCAGCUGAGCUCCCUGGGCACAGGCAGUGCAACAGCACACAGCAGGUUUAGCUGGCAUUUUCUCUACUGCUUGCUGAAAAGCCUUCUAAAAAUAAAGCAGACUGCAACAAAACAAAACACUAAAAGAUUUUCACAAGGCAGUACUAUAAUCUUUUAAAUUUUAAGAUAAAGUUAAAUUUCAUACAAAUAAACUUCCAAAAAUAUUUUGCAAACUCUGGCAUAUGGCUAUGAUACAGUAUGUACAAAUAAAAUGUCAGAAUGGUUA